rnacentral:rRNA from 1 species
UGAGGAAUAUUGGUCAAUGGGUGCAAGCCUGAACCAGCCAUCCCGCGUGAAGGACGACUGCCCUAUGGGUUGUAAACUUCUUUUGUAUAGGGAUAAACCUACCCUCGUGAGGGUAGUUGAAGGAACUAUACGAAUAAGCACCGGCUAACUCCGUGCCAGCAGCCGCGUUAAUACGGAGGGUGCAAGCGUUAUCCGGAUUUAUUGGGUUUAAAGGGUCCGUAGGCGGACUUAUAAGUCAGUGGUGAAAGCCUGUCGCUUAACGAUAGAACUGCCAUUGAUACUGUAAGUCUUGAGUAUAUUUGAGGUAGCUGGAAUAAGUAGUGUAGCGGUGAAAUGCAUAGAUAUUACUUAGAACACCAAUUGCGAAGGCAGGUUACCAAGAUAUAACUGACGCUGAGGGACGAAAGCGUGGGGAGCGAACAGG